UACAGAGGUGGCAAGCGUUGUUCGGAAUUACUGGGCGUAAAGGGCGCGUAGGCGGCCUCCUAAGUCAGACGUGAAAUCCCCCGGCUUAACCUGGGAACUGCGUCUGAUACUGGGAGGCUAGAGUGCGGGAGAGGGAUGCGGAAUUCCAGGUGUAGCGGUGAAAUGCGUAGAUAUCUGGAGGAACACCGGUGGCGAAGGCGGCAUUCUGGACCGACAUUGACGCUGAGGAGCGAAAGCCAGGGGAGCAAACGGG
rnacentral:rRNA from 1 species